CUUCCCCUCAUCGGUCACUCCCUAUUAUUCUCCCUCUCGCCCAACUCUCUCUCUCUCUUGCCAUCACACAGGAUUAGGUGCAAAUGGCUUGCAAACAGCAAAGCAAACCAAAGGCAACUACAAAGCCUUCCACUACAGCUCCGCCCAUAAGGAAAUGUAAGCAAAGUGAAGUUGCGUCAAGCAAAAUAGGAAAAGGCAAGCAAGUGGCUGAGACUUCUAACAGGCAACCUCGGGUGCUUCGUCCAGCGCUUCAAUCUGAAAGUGAUGAUGCUAAGAAAUGGUACCACUCCUUUGUGCCAUAUGAGCGGCAUAUUUACGAGGGUCUCCCAGGCCUGCGAAUCUGAGCAUAGUGAAGGAAUUAUAUGCCAACUGGACGCACAUGGGUGAAUUUGCAAGAAGAAGCCUUAUGCAACUAUUUGGGGGUCAUAAACCACAACCCAAAAUAUUUUACAGGUUCGUUCCCAAUCUCGAUUACAAAGCCAUCCAUCAUACAUUGUGGGGUGGACUCGGCAGCAAAGUGGACUCGUUCACUUUGCAAAGACAACUACUUGGAGAUGUACAAGACUGAAUUUAAAAGAACAGCUAAGGUUUGGCAGAAUUUUGUUCAGGCUCGCAUUUUGCCUAGUGAGCACACUUCGCACGAGAGCAAGGUUUGUUUGAUUUAUUUCCUGUUGAGGGGGGACCUGUCAACAUUAUUCAGUUGAUACUCGAUGCGAUAAACCACAUAAUAUUCCAGAGAGAUUCGGGGAGGUUCUUCUAUGGAACCUGUUGACAAAGUAUAUGCUAUGGAGGGAGGUUCCUAUUUAUGAUGGGGUUGAUGAGGUUGUGCCUGCACCGAAAGAGUUGCUAGAUAUUUCGGCAUUGUAGCCGUAGCAUGGUCCAAAGUUGAGCAAUCCCGGGAUAACAAUUUGAAUCGCCAUCGGUAUUGUAUAAUGAGCUUGAUUUUGGAAAAGGUGGGAGUUACAGAGGAAGAAAAAUUGAAACUACACCGGGGUAUUGCCACCUGGUAGUCCGCUAUAUUCUUCUGAGGACCGGAACACUGAUCCACCUUCCCCUGGAAGGGACGAAGUUGGUGAGGAGUUCGAUGGACCAUUGGCUAUUGAGGGCGUUACUGAGGACGUCAGUACAACUUGAUCGGAUCAGAUUCGGGGACUUAUUGAUGAGGAGUCAGAUGAGGAUGGCUCGAACUACAGCUCUAAUGGGUCAAAGUAGUAGGGAGCUCCUUCUUUCCACUCUCUUGUUUGAUUUCUUAUAUGUGCAUCAAGGAUACUACAUCUUUUAAGUGUGUGGUGGCGGACUCUCGUCGGAUAGUAAUAAUAGUAUAGUAGUAUCAACAUUAGCUUCUUGUUUAUGAUUAUGUAGCUAGGUUUUGACGUUAUCUUGCUUUGAUAAUUAAUAGUAUACUAGUAUAGACUUGUCAUAGAGUUUUAGUAGCUUAAUGAGAAAAAAUUUGAAGAAGAAAAAGAGGGAAAUAAGACAAAAAAAAAUCAAAAACCCAUUACAAAAAUGUGGACUUUUUCCGACGAUAGAUCUCUUGGACAACUUUCUUGUGGGAUUAAGGUCCAUAAAAAACUCAAAAUUAUAUUUUUAUUUUUAGUUAGUGGUAGUAUGUAAUAACCCCCUUUGGGUUUUCUUUGGGCACAUGUUCUUUUUUAAGGGAUGUAUCUUGAACCGAAUAUUUUUAUUUUUAGGAAAUAAAAGGAAGAAGACUUGAUUGCUCCUAGGUACCUUUUGACCUGUUUGAUGCUAGCAUAGUUAGGCCUUAGCAUGUGAGUUACCUUUCCGAUAUGUUUUGAUGAAAAUUGAUCCUUAUAUAAAUUGAAAAGCAUGUUUGUGACGCUUUCUCUCAGUUUUUUGACUCGUUGUUCAUUUAGUGCUUUAUUUCUUAAUAUUUCUUGACUAUAUAAUUACUUGCUUUAACUUGAGAGUUGAAAUGGUACCGUCUCGAAUGGGUCAUGCGCAUUGUGGGACGUGAGGUCUAAAUUUUAUUCUGCACUAUCCU